AAAAAGGCGGGGUUCUUCUGGUGGGAUGCCUUCCUUUAAAGUUAGCCUACCUCUAUCUGAAGUAGGCUAGCCUGCAGCUCUUUUUCACUCAGACGUCUCACAACCAGUGCUUUUUUAAACAGUGAGUACUACGUAGGCCUACAGAGACAAGGAAAUACCGUUUGCGUCUAACCAGAAGUGCAAAAUGGACUAAUGUCAAUAAUUGGUGAGAAAAACAACGUUUGGGAUCAGAUGAUUUGGUGGACCCCCUGCAAUAACUCUGAGGACCUCAAGGGGGCAUGUGAGAUCAACAAAUGACAGGUCCUGAGGCCUUGGCUGGACACUUGCCAGAUGCCAAGUUCCCUGAAAAACACAAUGACUGAUUAGUCCAUAGCCCAUAAUCCUUGCCCAUCUGAAGUGAAAUAAAAUACCUGUUGUAGAUAUCUGACAGGUUUUUUGGUGCAGUUCCAUUUAGUGAUUUAUAAACAAGCUGCAGUGCAGUAAUGUGAGCUCUUAAAAAAGACAGUUAGAAAGAAGUAGAAAUUAACAACAGACCACUGCAACAUAGACUACACAAGAUAUAGUGUGCUCGUCUAUGUUUUUGAGAUUCUAAAAUGAUGAUUUAGUUAUUGUUUUAAUGCUUACUACAAAUGAAAAAAAUGAAUACACCAAGGAUUUUAAGAGUGACCAUAGCUUAGAUAGUGUAAGAAUAGACUACAUUAAUUUAUUGGCCUCUCAUUGAAUUCAAACCAAGCAGCGCGGUAACUCUCCUUAUCUCUAAAGCCCAUUGAGUGAAAAAGCCUGCAGGAGGCACUAUUUCCCUCCUCCACGAAACAGUACACGGGAUACCCCUUCUCAAACAGCAUCUCUGAGAAGCGUGACACCAGCGUCCUCGCGUAUCCUCUCCGCCGGUACUCCGGUAAGGUGUAGAGCAGUCCCAGCGCGGAGUGUGGAUACAGCAACACCCAGGACACGGGGCUUCCUGCUGCCGAACCGUCCUCCGGUAUGACACACAGGCUGGGAAGGUGCGCGAUGUACCUCAGCACAGAGUUGUAGCUGUCGGCAUCGCCGCCGUACUUCCAAUUGCUGUUGACGAGCUCUGCGUGUUGCGGCCGGAGUGGCUGGAUCAGACAACCAGGAGGACUAACAGGAGAGAACAGACUAAAUUUAGGAGAGUGCAUUAUUUAGGAGAGUAAAUUUAUCUGAGAGACACUUGUGAGGUAUGCUUAUGUGAUGUCAUUACCUUAUAUCUAAUUAUAGCCCACUACUAUACUGUCAUUGGCCCCAAGCUAUGGCUCCUAGGCCUAUUGAUGAUGAUGAUGAUGACGAUGACGAAGAUGACGAUGACGACGAUGAUGAUGAUGAUAAUAUCAAUAAAUUAAACAAAAGGUAACAUUGAUUCUCCUGAAAGUUGGGUUUGCCAGUAUGUUACAUGACAUUACAUUACAUUUGUCUGACACAUUUUUAACCAAAUCGACUUACAACAUGGUCGACAGUUUAAAGCCUUUUUAACAAUUCUCUCAACAAUAAAGGUAAACACUGAGGUAACCAUUGAGUUGGUGGGUGAACGGGAGGUGUGAUUGUGAGCUAACCUCUCAUGAGCUCUGAGCUGAGUGGGACUCCCGAGGCUCAGCACGCGCAUCACCCCCUGUGUCCGUGAGGGAACCUGGUGCUGAUCCAUGAGGGCUUUUACAGCGUCCAGAUAAUUCAGGUCAACGCCUGUCAUGGAGUGAAUAUGAACACACUGAUACAAUGCAUGUGUGUGCAUACAUAGUACAUGCAUAUAGAAGACCUAUACACUUAGAGAUAUGUAAUGCAAACAAUUUGCAUGUUCCUAUGCUGUAGCCUAUACAACCACCCAAGCAUGUCCACUGAAGCAGGUUUAGCUUUUGAUCAUCAUUAAACAUUGUUUCAAAAUCAUCAUACAUAUAUUCAAAUAGGUCUGUGCUAUAUCAUAUUUCAUAUGGUAUAUCCCAAUCAUUCUUGUAUAUCAUAAGAAGUUUUCAUAUCUCAAUAUUGACAAUAUUGCAUAUUAAUGUUUUUGUAUGGCUUUGCGUGAUUGUCCAAUAUGAUGUGUUUUCAUAUUAUAACAACAUUUUACAGUUGUAUCAUGUUUCAUAUCACCAUUUCUCCUCAGUUCAGAUUUUAUAAUAUUUAUACAAUCUGUACUGAAGAGAAAUUGUGAAUUGUAUCAUGUUUCAUAUCACCAUUUCUCCUCAGUAUAUAUAUUUUUUUGCUACAGUAUAUCACUCAGCCCUAUAUUUAAGUCAUGUGACAUACCUAAGGACCAAGAGUCAAUCAAUCAACCUGUGAACUACACAAAAUGCUAAUGCUAAAAGGGUGUACAUGCCCCAGUCCAGCAGCCCUGGAGUGUCCAGUAGCCUCCUCAGGCUGUCCUGGUCUCUGGAGAACAUGCUGUGGAUGUUGAAGUCCCCCUCACGGUCGCGUGUGCCCUGUGUGGAGGACAGGCCGUAAGAGUGUUUGGACAGAUGAUUUAAAUCGAUGUGCAAUGUGUGGAAGACAAGCCGUAAGAGUGUUUGGACAGAUGAUUUAAAUUGAUGUGCAAUGUGUGGAAGACAGGCCGUAAGAGUGUUUGGACAGAUGUUUUAAAUUGAUGUGCCCUGUGUGGAAGACAGGCCGUAAGAUUAUUUAAAUCGAUGUGCCCUGUGUGGAGGACAGGCUGUAAGAGUGUUUGGACAGAUGUCUUAAAUCGAUGUGACAAUUGAUUUGAUUAGACUGUAGCUUCUGUGACUUCAAUUAUUUCUGGGAAUUAUGAACGUGAGAUUGUAUUGAAUGGCUAUUGUUUGUGGAAUAAAAAUGUAGAUAUAUUUAUGUCAGCA